GUAAAAACUCUUCCACCUGCUACUUUCUUUCAUUUCUUUGUUUGUCAAAAGAGAUUAUGAAGAAAAAUGAAGUGUUAGUGAGAUAUGAAGAAAAAAAAAAAGCAAUUCUUAUUCUCCCUCACUUUUGUCACACGGCCAAGACUUGAACAACCACAUAACCUUCACAAAAGUUUCCUCUUUCCACCAUUUUUAUCUAUUGGAAGAUUGAUCUUGAAAUUAGAAGUUAGGAAUUAUAUAACUAAGAUAACAUGAUAUACCUUUUAAAAAAAACAAAAAAAAAAACCUUUAUUAAAUCUUCAUGAUCUUUGGACUGGAAACUAAGAACUUGUUACUAUGUGAGAAAAAAGGAAAAUAAACCUACAAAUCUUUUUAUCUGGAUAACACAUACAAAACCCACAAAUGAAAUUCAUGAUCGGACAACCUUUUACUGGAAACCAUUGUAUCGAAAAUCUCACAACCAUGCCGAAAAUCAUAACCGCCACUUCUGUCAUCUCUGUGGUAAAGGGUUGAAAGUGUGAACCAGACAUGAGACUUUGUCGAGAGACAGGUUGUGCUCGCAUAACGUAAGUUGAACGUGUGGAAAGCUUGCUAAGGUUCUUUUUAGAUUGUGAGAUUCACUGGUAUCGUGGUGACUUGGAGUCAUAUCAGGAAGACGACCAGUCUGGUGUAGAUAAGUGGGAGGCUUGAAGUUGUUUGUGGGUCGUCGUUACCCAACCAUCUUCAGUUAGAGUCCAAUGAUCAGCUUAGAGGCUGUUGUUGAAGUCUUGUUUACUCUUCCUUACCGUUUUCUCUGUAACUUGUAAUUGUGGUAAACUCUGUUUAUUUAUUUGUUGAAAUAAAUAUUGUCAUUAUGUUUGAUUGUGUUUUUAAACAUUUCAUUGAGAAAAUAAUUUAUAAAAGAGGCCUAGUAUUCUAA